rnacentral:snRNA from 1 species
GAACUAAGCCAGCUGGCGAAGCAGGUGCCCCCAUCCUCUCUCCCUCCAUGUGCAUGUCCCUCCCAAAGCUCCUUGCUUUGUCAAAGAGAACAACCUUUCCUGAGAGAGGAGGAACCUUCUUCAGUGAAGGACAUAUGAGUAGCUGCUCUCCCUGCUAGAACCUCCAAGCAAUCUCUCAAAAUGGACAGGAGAUCUUUUCUACUAUACUCUAGUCUGAUCUGGUAGGAUGUACUGGUAAUAUCU